AUUGAACGCUCGCGGCAUGCCUUACACAUGCAAGUCGAACGGCAGCACGGGUGCUUGCACCUGGUGGCGAGUGGCGAACGGGUAAGUAAUACAUCGGAACGUACCUUAUCGUGGGGGAUAACGCAGCGAAAGCUGUGCUAAUACCGCAUACGCCCUUAGGGGGACAGCGGGGGAUCGAAAGACCCCGCGCGAUCAGAGCGGCCGAUGCCUGUUUAGCUUGUUGGCGGGGUAAAAGUCCACCAAGGCGACGAUCAGUAGCUGGUCUGGGAGGACGAGCAGCCAAACUGGGACUGAGACACGGCCCAGACUCCUACGGGAGGCAGCAGUGGGGAAUUUUGGACAAUGGGGGCAACCCUGAUCCAGCAAUGCCGCGUGAGUGAAGAAGGCCUUCGGGUUGUAAAGCUCUUUUGUCAGGGAAGAAACACCGGCUCUAACACAGUCCGGGAAUGACGGUACCUGAAGAAUAAGCACCGGCUAACUACGUGCCAGCCGCCGCGGUAA
rnacentral:rRNA from 1 species